CCAAUUUACAUUUUGCGACAUAUGACCAACUUUAGCUCUGCAGAUUAUUUUCUUUAUUUUUUUUCUUUUCUUUCUUUUUUUUUUUUAAGAAAAAUAGUUGAUCUGUUUAUCUAAUAAUAGAUUAUUAUAGAGUUUCUUAAACUUGACCUUACUUCAAAUGCACAGAAAUGGUCGAAUCAUCUAACUGCCAGUGUGGGGCUCUGUUGAUUGCCUGAUUAAGGUGGCCGUCACUGGGGAUCAAGAAAAACAGAUUCUCAAAGACAGGCAGCUACAGAGAUGUCCGCAGGCUUUAGGUGGAAAGACGCAUGCAAGUGGUUUGAUUAUUCUUAUUGAUAAGCACACCUACACCUGUAGAAUGUAAAAACCUCACUCUCUUGUACUGUACACGAGUGUCCCUAUCAGUUCUAUCUGUCUGCAAAGGAAAAUAAUGCAGCCAUCAUUCUUAAACAUUCCUCUUCACCUCAUAAAACAUCAGCUUUUGAUAAAUAUAGGCAGGUUACCAGAGCUCUUAUUUAAAAUUCAGAGCAACGGCAUGUUUUCAAAAGUGAAAGAGGACCGAAUACAGACAGCUGUGGCACUCUCUCCACCCCAUGGUUAGGACAGCAGUUAGUGGGGGACUUCCUGCAUGGAAAGCUGUGUAUGUUUUCCUUCAGCGAAUUGAACAUCCUGCAGAUCUUAAAUUCCAGUCGGCAGUAAACUCCCUGACCUCUGAGCACAAAAUUAGCCACAUCAUAUAAGCAAAAGACAAGAGGGAAAGGAAGGAUUGCAAAACAGAGCAGAAAGAUAUAGUAUAAAGAAAGAUCACAGAGAGAGACUGACGAAUAAUGUAAACUUACACAUUUUACAUUUUUCUUAAUUAUUCAUUGUAUGAAAAGGAAACUAAUAUAGAUCAUUAAUUAUAAUUUGGUUAUAUAAUCUAUGUAACCAAAACAGUUUUUUUCCAAACAGUAUAAUUUUUAAAGGGUUACUCCGCCCCGAAUUAAAUGUUUUGUCAUUAAUCACUUACCCCCGUGUCGUUCCAAACCUGUAAAAGCUUUGUUCGUCUUCAGAACACAAUUUAAGAUACUUUGGAUGAAAACCGGGAGGCUUGUGACUGUCCUAUUAACUGCCAAGUAAAUUACACUGUCAAGGUCCAGAAAAGCAUGAAAACCAUCGUCAGAAUAGUCCAUCUGCCAUAAGUGGUUCAACCAUAACAUUUCUGUAUGCGAAUUUCUGUAUGCGAAUAAAACAAAAAUAAUGACUUUGUUCAACAAAUCGUCUCCUCUGUCUCUCUGUAUCAGCAUAGUGCCAUUUUGGGGAAUAUCCACUGAAUACAGGCAGCGUACACUCCUCUGUGUCAGCUGAGACACAAGAAUAUGUUUUCUGUGUGUAUUUGCACUUCGAUUGGAAAGAAAACAGUUCAUCCGUGCAGCGCGGCUGACACAGAAGAGCGUAUGCUGCCUGCGUUCAGCUCAUAUUCUCCAAAAUGGUGCUAAGGUGAUGCAAAGAGACACAAAGGAGAUGAAUUGUUGAAUAAAGUCAUUAUUUUUGUUUUCUUUAGUUUCUAGUUAACAUUAUGGUUGAACCACUGAUGGCAGAUGGAUUAUUCUGAUGAUGUCUUUCAUACUUUUCUGGACCUUGACAGUGUAAUUUACUUGGCAGUUAAUGGGACAGUCAUAAAAUAUCUUAAAUUGUGUUCCGAAGAUGAACUAAGCUUUUACGGGUUUGGAACGACAUGGGGGCAAGUGAUUAAUGACUAAAUUUUCAUUUUGGGGUGGAGAAACUCUUUAAGCUAGUCAUAGUUUUAUUUUUUGUAAAAUAUGAAAACCAUUUCUAGCUAUUUAUUCCUUUCCUGACCAUAUGCUAUUUUGGAGUUAGGCUAAUUCAGUCAAAUUACAAAAUAUUUUUUGCUUGAAUAAAACCAGUACAUUUAUUGUACAACAUGGAACCCAUUUGUUAGGUUAUGUGUUGACAUUUUUAUAAAUUUAUUUAUUUACUUCAGUAUAACUAAUCACAGGAAAAUAUGGGACAGUGAACAAAACAACCCAUAUAAAUCGAUUUAGUCAUCAUAUUGCAAUGCUCGUAAACAUCAUUUUGUGAGAUGUCAUACAUGUGAGAUCCAUUUGUUUAUUAAGAUGCAUGAAUGCAAUAAAAGGCAUAAUAUUUUACUGUAUUAUAACAUUUUAUUUCCAAUAACACAGUCAUGUAAACAGCCAUGAAAGUGUCAUGGACAGGUUUAUCACUUACAACAUAUGCAGUUAACCCUAUCUGCCUAUCAGUAAACCCUAUCAAUAAACCAUAUAUGUGUUUAUUGAGCUAUUAUCCAUUGACUGAUGAAAUAAACUACUCACCAGUCAACAUAUGUUCCUGAUUUUCUGAAUUUAUUUGAUUUUAAACCAUGUGUUUUCUGUUUUGAAAUGAUUAUAGUGGUUUGCGACAGAACAUUCUCUCCGGAUCACAAACAUUAGAGCUUUGGUGAAACAUAAGAUUUUACAAUAGUAUGUUUUCAGCUUCACGAGCAGUGGUGAAUUAACAUGGAAUCACAUAUACACAUCACAGUAUAUUCAUUGGUUAUAUAUUUAAUGUUUUUGACCCUAUUUCCUAUUGUUCUGAAAUAUCCCCACAUUCCUAGUAUCCCCACAUUCCUAGUAUCUAUCAAAAAAAAAAAAAAAAUAAUAAUAAUAAAAAAAAAAAUAUUAGGGUAAGUGGCAUCUCCUCAUUACUUGGAAGGGCUGGAGUUAUGUUCACAACUCUGUGAGGUUUUUCUGCAUAGCAGCACAGUACGUGUACUAACAUGUAGUUAUAGUGCACUUACAGUGUAUUUAUCUAAGAAAGUCCUGGUAACACAAGGUAACUACAGGGGGUAGGUUUAGGUUUAGGGGUAGGUUCAGGGUUAGUACCUAGUUAUUACAUAGUUAUUGGAAUUGCUAUAAUAAGUACAUAGUAUGUACAUGAGGAACAGGACUGUAAAAUAAAGUGCUACAAUGUAAUGUAUAAUGCAUUCCUCUAUGUGUUUUUUUUUUACUGUAUGGAAUGUAACAUGUUUAUGAUCUGACCAGUGUUGAAGUUUGACUUAUCUGAAUGCCUCUAAAUAAAUUAUUUUGGAGUAUGUGCGUAUGCAUAUUUGUUCCCCUACUGUUUCUCAUUUCCUAUGUUUCCCUUUAUCUGAAAUCAUAUGCUUUAUCUGGAAUAUUAUUGUGUACAGCUCUCAAAGGACGGAGUUGAUUCCCAGAGCAGAUCACAUGACCCUAUCAUGUGCAAUGAAGAUGUUCUUUUUAUGGUUGGUUACUCCACUAUUCCACAUUUGCACACAACAUGAUUUAUUUAUUUAUAUUUUUUGAGUUGCUUUAAAGAUUUGGGGCUGGAAGUUGAGGUUAUAUAUACCAUUAAUCUUUCUAUGUUGUUAUAAUUAUGCGUCCCCCUGUCAUUUCCCUUAUUUUUGUUGGUGCUGACACUUGCCCUGCUUCAGUAAACUGGAAGAGAGGCAUUACACUGCCUAAUCACUGGAACAAUGUGAGUAAAUGUGUGGCCUUCUGAACAAUGUGAUACCACAUGAUGUGGUGGGUGGAAAAGAAAUCUCAAAGCCUAUGCACACUCUCCCUCUGUUGUAUUCUUUCUCAACAUUUUAGUUCUCCUUCAUGUACAAUGUCUGUCAGUGACAUCUUUACUAGCUUUUAGGUGGUGUCAGCUAUAAUCAAGAAACAGUAAACACCACAGACAGUCAACUAUGGCGUGACCUUAAAACACGUCCCAUGCAAUGACCAUUAUAAAUGCUGCGUCUUUCAUCUCUUUCCCGUUAGACUUCGGGCUGCAGGAUUGCAGCUGUGUGGCGGGUGCCACCAGACUGUUCAUGUCUUGCCUUGUGUGGAUGUGCGUGCCUGUGUGUAUGCGAGCAAGCAAUCCCUUGGGGCUCUCUCCCUCAGCCCUGGCUCCCUGAUUCGGCAGAAUGCCAGCGUUUGCUGCUUCCCACCUCCUUCCCGGAGACUCCUGGCCAUAAUAGACGGUAAUGGCCUAAGACAAAUCAACCCGUUUCUUGUAAAAAUAGCAGCAAAUAACCCCUGACUUUGCCUCACGAGUGUAAACCAGGGAGAAGCUCGACUCUGACAGCCACAUUCACAGUGGGCAUUAACCCCAGGAGAAAGCUUACGCUCCACUUGAACAAAGCCAUACCUCUUGAAUACUUACAUCCCCCACUCACAGCUCAGAAUGGAUUGGUAAUGACCGACUGUCUUGCUGUGCAGGUUAUGUGAUGCCUCGGCCAAUCACAGGAGUGAGUGCCCUCCUCGAUGUUUACAACAUCAUCUUACCAAGCAACAGUUUCUGUGCAGUAGUUGAAUAUAUGGAUAAUAUAUUUAAACACCGCAGUUGAGUACCCUAACAAAUAUUACCUAUAAAUGUUGUUGUGAUGUUGCAGGCCUGGGCAGAGGAUAAGAGACUGUGUGGAGCAAAAACAAAACAAAGUGUAAAGUUAGAGCUGAUGGGGAUACUCAGUCAAGUGGUGGUUCCAAAUCUUUAGUUUAGAAAUGUUCUGACUGCAAUAUUUAACAGUAAGGAAUUACAUCUUGAAUGGUCAAUUCAGGUAAGGGUCACUCGAGCAUGACUGGCUUAAUUCAUCUCAUAAACAAGUUACACAUAUUAUAUCACCCCAUUUAGGUUUGAAUAUUUUCAAAUGCAUUACUUUGUUUGCUAUUACAUACUAGAAAUGUAUAACUUUUUGCCUUUUUUAACUAGACACAGUCAAAUGCAAGGUGUAUGCAAGGUACCAAACACAAUUUGAUUGUGUCUAGUUUGAAAAGAUAUAUAUAUAUUUUUGCUAUGAAUACAUUAAUCCAAUUCAUUUGCAUGUUUGCCACAAGACAUACUAAUUCAGGUUCGCGUUCUUAGUCUCUUCUCAGAAUUAUUAACUGUCCCUCCACUGAAAGCACACAUUUAUAAUUAUUACUACAACACAAAUACAAAUAUUUAAUACAAAUAAAUCCUAAUGCCCUUAUGCUCUGUCCAGAAAAGCCCUUCAACACUGAUGCUGUGGGUGGAAUUAAAUAAUCUCACCUAUGUUGCUGAUAAUAACUGCGAACACACUACACUUUAUAUUUAUAUGCACAUACACUUAUUUAUCUAACACACAUACUUAGUAUACACUUAAAUUUUGCACAUAAUACACAUGUACAUACAAAACUGCAUUUUGUAAUAUACCUGCCUACAAUUGUCAAUUUGUAUAUUGUCAUUCACUAUCUACUUAUUUGUAUUUUUUUAUUCUUUUAUUAUGUGUUUUAUGUUCUGUCGCUGUCAUUCUGUUGUACUGUGGAGCUUCUGUCACAAAAACAAAUUCCUCGUAUGUGUAAACAUACCUGGCAAUAAAGCUCAUUCUGAUUCUGA